CAUUAGAGCGGCAGAGUAACACUGAAUGGUGGAGCGGCGCCGCCUGCAUGUAGCAACUGCUGCCGUCGACGAGGCCGCCGCCGCCACCCGCCGCCGCCCGCUGCCGCGGACCUCCACGUUCGACAAUAGCGCCUUCCUCUACGACGCCAGGGAGGUGUCCCAUGCCAGCAAAUUCUCCGUGUCGCUGGAAAAGGAAAGGUUGAAUCUCUGCAUAGGAUAGCUGAGUUUGUCAUCUCGUUUUGUGAGGCACCAGAACUCGUGGUCAGCAAGGGGAAAAGGCACAAGAUGGAGUUGAUGCUAUCAUUUUACAGCAAAGGGAGGAGGCACUGUAUGUGAGCUGGGGCAAGGAGGCUGUGCUCUAGUGGCCAUUGAAGAGUAACUUCUGAUGAGUUAUCUGAUCCAGCAAUUAAAGUGUUACUGCAAAGCUUGGUUAAGAGAAGAAGGGGCUGUGGUCUGUAUCUAUGACCAAAACCUCGCUGGGUGGCCACUUCUUGAUCAUGGAAUCUUGCUGCUGAGGGUCCAGCAUGUGGUCACGCUGUGUCUUUAUGAAAACCCGCUUUAUUCGAUUCAAUCUCUCAUCAGCUCCUUCAAAGCUUGCAGUACCAAUAGCACUUGCAGGCCAUGGGCGCAUCAGCAUUGAAGCCAGUAUUGACU